rnacentral:rRNA from 1 species
AUUGAACGCUGGCGGAAUGCUUUACACAUGCAAGUCGAACGGCAGCACGGACUUCGGUCUGGUGGCGAGUGGCGAACGGGUGAGUAAUAUAUCGGAACGUGCCCAGUCGUGGGGAUAUCGUAGCGAAAGUUACGCUAAUACCGCAUACGAUCUACGGAUGAAAGCGGGGGAGUCGCAAGACCUCGCGCGAUUGGAGCGGCCGAUAAUCAGAUUAGGUAGUUGGUGAGGUAAAGGCUCACCAAGCCGACGAUCUGUAGCUGGUCUGAGAGGACCGACCAGCCACACUGGGACUGAGACACGGCCCAGACUCCUACGGGAGGCAGCAGGUGGGGAAUUUUGGACAAUGGGCGCAAAGCCUGAUCCAGCAAUGCCGC